rnacentral:rRNA from 1 species
CCUACGGGAGACAGCAGUGAGGAAUAUUGGUCAAUGGACGAGAGUCUGAACCAGCCAAGCAGCGUGAAGGAUGACUGCCCCAUGGGUUGUAAACUUCUUUUAUAUGGGAAUAAAAUGUUCCACGUGUGGGUUUUUGUAUGUACCAUAUGAAUAAGGAUCGGCUAACUCCGUGCCAGCAGCCGCGGUAAUACGGAGGAUCCGAGCGUUAUCCGGAUUUAUUGGGUUUAAAGGGAGCGUAGGUGGAUUGUUAAGUCAGUUGUGAAAGUUUGCGGCUCAACCGUAACAUUGCAGUUGAAACUGGCAGUCUUGAGUACAGUAGAGGUGGGCGGAAUGCGUGGUGUAGCGGUGAAAUGCUUAGAUAUCGCGAAGAACUCCGAUUGCGAAGGCAGCUCACUGGACGGCAACUGACACUGAGGCUCGAAAGUGUGGGUAUCAAACAGGAUUAGAUACCCUAGUAGUC